UACGUAGGGUGCGAGCGUUAAUCGGAAUUACUGGGCGUAAAGCGUGCGCAGGCGGUGAUGUAAGACAGGUGUGAAAUCCCCCGGGCUUAACCUGGGAACUGCAUUGGUGACUGCAUUGCUGGAGUAUGGCAGAGGGGGGUGGAAUUCCACGUGUAGCAGUGAAAUGCGUAGAGAUGUGGAGGAACACCGAUGGCGAAGGCAGCCCCCUGGGCCAAUACUGACGCUCAUGCACGAAAGCGUGGGGAGCAAACAGG
rnacentral:rRNA from 1 species